rnacentral:rRNA from 1 species
AGUGAACGCUGGCGGUAGGCCUAACACAUGCAAGUCGAACGGCAGCACAGUAAGAGCUUGCUCUUACGGGUGGCGAGUGGCGGACGGGUGAGGAAUACAUCGGAUUCUACUUUUUCGUGGGGGACAACGUAGGGAAACUUACGCUAAUACCGCAUACGACCUACGGGUGAAAGCAGGGGAUCUUCGGACCUUUCGCGAUUGAAUGAGCCGAUGUCGGAUUAGCUAGUUGGCUGGGUAAAGGCCCACCAAGGCGACGAUCCGUAGCUGGUCUGAGAGGAUGAUCGGCCACACUGGAACUGAGACACGGUCCAGACUCCUACGGGAGGCAGCAGUGGGGAAUAUUGGGCAAUGGGCGCAAGCCUGAUCCAGCCAUACCGCGUGAGUGAAGAAGGUCUUCGGGUUGUAAAGCCCUUUUGUUGGGAAAGAAAAGCAGCGGAUUAAUACCCCGCUGUUCUGACGGUACCCAAAGAAUAAGCAACGGCUAACUUCGUG